rnacentral:tRNA from 1 species
AGUCCACCGUGGUGACCGUCACGGGCUUCAAGCUCAUCGACGAGGAGGGCCGGGUG